rnacentral:rRNA from 1 species
GCCAAAAACCUAGCUCUAAUUUUAUCAAAUGAAUUAAUCACCCUAAAUUUUUUAAUUAAAACAUUCUAUGAAUCCAGUAAAGGCGAUUAAAAAAUUAAUUAAAGCCAUACCAUGAGUACCGCAAGGGAAAGAUGAAAUAAAAAUGAAAUAAAUCUUAAGCAUAAAAUAGUAAAGAUUAAUUCUUGUACCUUUUGCAUCAUGGUUUAACUAGUCUAACCAAGCAAAAAGAUUUAAAGUUUGACUCCCCGAAACUAAGCGAGCUACUUCAGGGCAGCUUUAUGAGCCAACCCUUCUCUGUUGCAAAAGAGUGGGAAGACCCUUAAGUAGAGGUGACAAACCUAUCGAGCUUAGUGAUAGCUGGUUACUCAAAAAAAGAAUUUAAGUUCGACCUAAAAUUUAAAUUAAUAUUAACAAAAAUAUAACAUUUGUUUUAGAGCAAUUCAAAUAAGGUACAGCCUAUUUGAAACAGGAUACAACCUAUAUCAGUGGGUAAUUAAUUACACUGUAUGAUAAUUAAGUAGGCCUAAAAGCAGCCAUCUUUAAAAUAGCGUCAUAGCUUUAUUAUAAAAAAAUUAAAUCCCCUUACACUUACAUAACCCCUCACCAAUAUUGAGUAAUUCUAUGAACACAUAGAAAUUUUUAUGUUGAAACUAGUAACAAGAAGACGAACUUCUCCUUAAUAUGAGCAUAAACCAGUUGGACCCCCCACUGAUAAUUAACACCGCAUCUUACAGUAGUACCAAAACAAGAAAACCCUACUUUAUUUCAUGUUAAUCUAACACAAGCACAUUACAAGAAAGAUUAAAAGAAAAAGAAGGAACUCGGCAAACAUUAACCCCGCCUGUUUACCAAAAACAUCGCCUCUUGAGUAUCAUAAGAGGUCCAGCCUGCCCAGUGACUCUGUUCAACGGCCGCGGUAUUCUAACCGUGCAAAGGUAGCGUAAUCACUUGUUCUUUAAAUGAGGACUAGUAUGAAUGGCACCACGAGGGUUAAACUGUCUCCUCUCUCUAAUCAGUGAAACUAAUCUCCCCGUGAAGAAGCGGGGAUCAACCUAUAAGACGAGAAGACCCUAUGGAGCUUUAAACUUUCAACAAUUGCCCAAAUAAUAUUAAUUCCAGAAAACAAGCCUCAAUUUAGCACUUUGAUUUUUAAGUUUUUGGUUGGGGUGACCACGGAGCAAAACCUAACCUCCGCACUGAAAGGCCCUUGGCCUUAUCUAAGAGUCACAACUCUAUGCACCAACAAUUUGACACCAAUUGACCCAAUAUAUUGAUCAAUGAACCAAGUUACCCUAGGGAUAACAGCGCAAUCCUCUUCAAGAGCCCCUAUCGACAAGUGGGUUUACGACCUCGAUGUUGGAUCAGGGUUCCCUAGUGGUGCAG